GCCACGGUGGUGUAGUGGUCAAGACGCUCGCCUGGUAAUUGGGAGGGCAUGGGUUCAAUCCCAGCCGAGAUA
rfam:Asian citrus Psyllid, Diaphorina citri - Florida Strain, whole genome shotgun sequence.